rnacentral:rRNA from 1 species
GUACAUUACUACAACAUAGGAUUAAUGCAGUAGAUCCCCAUUAGAACUCUAUAGUUAAGCACGCUCAUGCUAGAGUAGUAUUGGGAUGGGUGAUCUCUCGAGAAGUCCUAGUGUUUUGCAUC